rnacentral:misc_RNA from 1 species
GAUGAAGAACGCAGCGAAAUGCGAUAAGUAAUGUGAAUUGCAGAAUUCGGUGAAUCAUCGAAUCUUUGAACGCACAUUGCGCCCGCUAGUAUUCUGGCGGGCAUGCCUGUCCGAGCGUCAUUUCAACCCUCAAGCCCCCGGGCUUGGUGUUGGGGAUCGGCGAGCCUCCGCGCCCGCCGUCCCCUAAAUCUAGUGGCGGUCUCGCUGUAGCUUCCUCUGCGUAGUAGCACACCUCGCACUGGGAAACAGCGCGGCCACGCCGUUAAACCCCCAACUUCUGAACGUUUGACCUCGGAUCAGGUAGGAAUACCCGCUGAACUUAAGCAUAUCAAUAAGCGGAGGA